UUUUUCUUGGAUAAAAGUGUGUGAAUUUUAAUUGUCUGGUUAAACAUAUUUGACGAAUUUUCAGUUUAGAACAUCAGAUAAUAGUAAUAUUUGUUACUAUGGAAGCUGAAAUUGACAGCGUAGUAGAAAGUAAAUCGCCGGUGAACGAAAAUACAAGUCCAGUAAAUGCAGAUGAGGAAAGGCCGUUUAAUGGUAGCGCAGCAGGGGCUUCUCAGGAAAACAAUGUAACCUCUAAUCUUAAUGGUAACGCUGAAAACUCAAUUACUGAAACAAGCGAUGGGGAAACACAGUGGACUCAAACUCAGCCUGGUGUUGGUGUUGCUAAGCCUUUUAGCAUGUCACCAUUUAACGCGCCACCUGGAGCAUUUCGUGGUGGACGUGGUGGAAUACAUAUUAUGCCGUUUGGUCGGGGCGGUUCACGGGGCGGAGGUGGAAAUUUCGGUGGACGUGGACCAAAUAAUAUGGAUCCAAAUUGGCAGGCACAACCUUCAAACGCUCCCCCAAAUACAUCAAAUGGAUCACCUUUAGAACUUUGGGUUGAGACAAAAACGGAUGAUGGCAAGUCAUAUUUUUAUCAUGCUUUAACAAGAGAAACAACGUGGAAUAAACCUGAAGGUCAAAAUAUUAAAGUUAUGACCCAAGCAGAAAUUGAAGAAAUGAAUAAAAAACAGCAACCACCACAACAAACAAAUAACUUGACAACAGAGGCAGGUGGUAAGGGUCCGGAACCCGUUAUGCAUGCACCGAAUGCUAACAUAGAAGCGAAGAAAGAUCUACCGCCUUUGGCACUAACACAGCCAAUGAAAGCACCAGAAUUGCUUACACAGCAUCCACCACCAAAUUUGAUGUCUCAGCCACCACCCACACAACAGACUUUAACACAACCACCGCCGAAUGUAAUACCAAGCGGUGCUCCACCUAUUACGCAACAACCACCACCAGCAAUACAUCAACAGCCACCGCCAUUCUUUCCGCCUGGCAUGCAUCCUCCUAAUUUCUCUCAAUCUCCAUUUGGAAUGCCACCACCUGGCUAUGGUGGUUUCCCUGGUGGCCCUGCUCCUUGGGGUAUGCCAUGGAAUCAACACAUGCAUCCAGGACACGGACAGCCGCCUCAAGAUAAACCAGCCAAAAAUCUGAUUCUUAAACCGGGCGUAAUAGAUCCUGCAGUAAUUGCACGCGCGGCAGAGUGGUCCGAACACCGAGCUCCUGACGGUCGUCCAUACUAUUACCAUGCCGGUCGUGGCGAAAGUGUUUGGGAGAAACCACAAGCUCUACGCGAUAUGGAAGCAGCACGUAUGGCAGCGCAUUCCGGUACAACACCACAGCAAUCAGUCGCACCACAAGUAGCACCUGGCAUGCCACCACAUAUGAUGCCAAAUCCUGCCCUCAUGCAUAUGACACCCGCAGCUGGUGGUUAUGAUCCCGCGAUGGCUUAUAAUGCUGCGGCAGCCGCCGCCGCUGCUGCAGCUGCAGCUACCGCUAAUCUUAAGCCACUCGAGCAAACCAAAGCUGCUCAAGCAGCUGCGCUUGAAAAAGAAUCAAAGAAAGCCGCAGAGGAGAAACGAAAAAAGGAGGAAGAACAAAAGAAAGCGGCAACACCUACGACAAAACCUGUGGACAAAUCACGUCCAAUUUCGAGCACACCCAUUGCAGGCACUCCAUGGUGUGUCGUUUGGACAGGAGAUGCACGAGUAUUCUUUUACAAUCCCUCAACUCGCACAUCUGUGUGGGAAAGACCCGACGAUUUAUUAGACCGUGCUGAUGUCGAUAAAGCCGUCAAUAAUCCACCCGAACAAUUAAAGGCAGCAGGAAAUGUCGUUAUUGAAAAACAAGUUGAAAAGGGGGAGAUCGAAAAGAAGAAAGAGGUUGAAGUUGCUGAAGAAGAAGAAGAGGAAGAGCAAGAUGAUGAUGAAGUAAUUAAAAUUCGCACGGAAUCUGAAUCGAGUGUGGAGGAAGUGCCAACAAAGAAGUCUAGAUUGAGCGCAAAGCAAACACGAAAAGCUGAUGCUAAUGAGGCAGCUGUGGAGGCGGAAGUCCGUGCCGCUAAGGAACGCGCAGUAGUGCCAUUGGAAACGCGUGUCAAACAGUUCAAAGAAAUGUUGCGUGAGAAAGAUGUAUCUGCAUUCAGUACUUGGGAAAAGGAGUUACAUAAAAUUGUGUUUGAUCCCCGUUACUUGCUACUAACUUCGAAGGAACGGAAACAGGUAUUUGAAAAGUAUGUUAAAGAUCGUGCUGAAGAGGAACGCAAGGAGAAACGUAAUAAAAUGCGGCAAAAGCGUGAAGAUUUCCGAAAACUCAUGGAAGAUGCUAAACUCCAUGGCAAAUCGUCAUUCAGCGACUUUUGUCAACGUUAUGGUAAAGAUGACCGAUAUAAGGCCAUAGAAAAAGUACGCGAACGCGAAAGUCUCUUCAACGAAUAUAUUGUAGAUGUGCGGCGUCGCGAAAAAGAGGAGAAAAUUCUAAAGAAGGAACAGUUUAACGCUUCCAUGAGUGUAAUAAUAGGUCAGCCGCAUGAAGUGAUAUCAAAAAUUUUAAUAAUUAACUUAAACGUAUAACAGUUUGUUAUCUUAGAAAAGAAGAUUACAGAUUUUAGGAGUUCAAUCCACAGUUGCACAGAAUAAAUGUGAUUCAGAUGAUUCACAAGGAAAAAUGCAGCAUAUUGAUAUAUUCAAACGCGAAUAUUUGAUCAGGGAGCAAUCAACGAGCACUUCAUAUUGCAUUGAACCGCAAAACAUCCGUAUCCAUCCUACUGUCCACAACAUACCCAGUGAUUUGCCUGUUCGCUAAUCUACCUUGACUUUGAUGCGUAUGUACGUCCGCUCGGCUCGUUUUCCCAAAUUAUUUGCCUAUCUAGUUCGAAGCGUGAUCAACGUUGACUUCAUUAAACAAUCAGCAAACACAAUAUAUACCUAUAUGAAAGAUAUAUCUUGGUGAUUUACCCUUCCGCCAGGAACGUCUUAUGAACGUGUUGAAGCUUAUCGGAUACUCUCAGAGGUACGAUGAAUUUUGAUGAUUGGAAUUUCGCGGACACUACAAAGAGGACUAAAGGCAAUUAGGCAGAUGAGAAGACAUGCCAAUAUCUCAACAGCUGGCAGUUUAGAGUAAUGUUGGCGCUCGAGUCUCCAGUCUCUGGUCUAUGAGUGUAGCAGAGCAGGAACUAGAGCGGAGUGGAAAUUUUGCGAAGAAGAGACUAAACAGUAUGAAUAAAAACUCAAUCUAAACAUCAUACAUUUAGAAUUCUUUGUUACAGCCGAAAGAGCAAUAAGCAAUUAAAAGAACAAUAUUUCACAUUUCGAAGGGAAUUUCUCUUCAAUUUCUUACGAAAGUAAUGUGUGGCUCAUUAAAAAUACACCUUUAAAAUUUUAAAUACUUAAAAAUGCAAAAAAAAAA
rnacentral:misc_RNA from 1 species